GAUAAUGCGUCGAUUUGGGGUGUUUGGUGGUGAUUAUUCAUCAUUGUUCCGACGACCUGGGUGGUGGUUUUCGACAAGUGAUAUCAGAAACACGGCAAGUGGAGUGUUAUGACAACGAACAGAGGCUUUCGAGUGGUGAUGCUUCUAGUUUUGUUUUCCGGUAACAAAUGUGAGUUGUGUUCUGUUUCGUUCUUCUUUUCAGUUUUCUGUCCGAUUAUCGCAACUAUUGUGUUGUUGGAGUUUCAGUGUAUUUUCUUUUAGAUUUUGUUUUAAAAGUUUGUGACAUGGUAUUGGUUAUGAUUUGAAGAGUUGUUAUAUUAAUGGUUGUACUUUUUUUUUG
rnacentral:lncRNA from 1 species